UCAGGUAUAUCCUACGGUAUAUUCUAACAAAAAUAUUAUGUCACAACACAUGCGACAAAAGACCAACAAAAAGGUUCUAUAUGUACAUGUUGAACCAAAACAAAUUAUAAUCACAAGGUCUCAAAAAGAAGGUAACAACAUGUACCGCUCUACAAUUAUAAAAAAUAAAUACUAAACAUGAUAUCCUAAUUCAAAGAGUACAAAUACGAGUCCAGUGUGUCAACUCCAAAAUGAAACAAAUAUAUGAAUUUCACAAGAAACAAUUAUGUGAAAUAAUAACAGAAUUUGAAACGAAGAACAAAACGAAUAAAUCAAAUUUAACAAAAG
rnacentral:lncRNA from 1 species